AGCAAUUCUUAGCAGAUGUAUUCAUCGUCCCCACAUUUACUGCAGUAAUUAUCCCUCCCAUUCUCCAUUAUCGUGCCACCAAGUUCAAAUUCCUACUUCAUACUUUGUGAACCACUCAUCUUAUCUCCAGCUUAUUGUUGUUCGCCACCCAUUCCACCUCAUUAAUGACCCUCUUUUCAUGAAACCUUUCGCCAUUCUCCAUGAUCCCU
rnacentral:lncRNA from 1 species